CGUAGCUCAGCUGGAUAGAGCACCAGACUACGAAUCUGGGGGUCAGAGGUUCGAAUCCUUUCG
rnacentral:tRNA from 1 species